GAUGAACGCUGGCGGCGUGCCUAAUACAUGCAAGUCGAGCGAACGGACGAGAAGCUUGCUUCUCUGAUGUUAGCGGCGGACGGGUGAGUAACACGUGGAUAACCUACCUAUAAGACUGGGAUAACUUCGGGAAACCGUAGCUAAUACCGGAUAAUAUUUUUAACCGCAUGGUUCAAAAGUGAAAGACGGUCUUGCUGUCACUUAUAGAUUGAUCCGCGCUGCAUUAGCUAGUUGGUAAGGUGACGGCUUACCAAGGCAACGAUGCAUAGCCGACCUGAGGGGGUGAUCGGCCACACUGGAACUGAGACACGGUCCAGACUCCUACGGGAGGCAGCAGUAGGGAAUCUUCCGCAAUGGGCGAAAGCCUGACGGAGCAACGCCGAGUGAGUGAUGAAGGUCUUCGGAUCGUAAAACUCUGUUAUUAGGGAAGAACAUAUGUGUAAGUAACUGUGCACAUCUUGACGGUAACUAAUCAGAAAGCCACGGCUAACUACGUG
rnacentral:rRNA from 1 species